AUGCGCUGACUCCUCCCAUUUAACUCGCACCGUAGUAGAGGUGUGUAGCCACACGUCUCCAUCAUAGGUCGUUCUGUCGCUAUACCUAGAUGAGCACAACGGGAGUAUUCGUUAUCCUUUCAAUGAAAGGAUCUAGGAUCUAAAGACCGCCGUGUCUUGAUCAUGGGUGUACUUUGAGACCGAAGUAUAACAUCCAUUGCCUCAACUCCUUUGGUUUUGAGCUCUCAAAUGGUCCUCAAUCUGUUGCUUGAAGAACAGCUCCCCCAAGCGGCUAUGCGAGGCCUCGCUCAUGGCCUUGGUCUGCAUACACAUCUUGUACUUAUCCGGAGUCAACUCAUCCGCACAGUGCUUCUCAUGCCAGAAGUGAAAGAGGCCACGCGAGGGAGAACGAAUCACCAUGAGCUUGCUGUGAAGAUACUUCCUGUACAGAUGCACGUCCUCCAAUCCCCAACCUUUGAUGCUCCGAUCGAACCCACCUACCAGGAAGCAGGUUAGCAAUGUUAGUUCUGGAUAGGGUCCAUAGACGUGUGAUCGUCAACAGAUAAAGGCAUAUACGUUACCUAUGUUGAGGAAAUCGGAGCGGUACUGGCAUGUCAUACCAAAACCAAAGUCCCUCCAGAACCCUGUGUCCUUUUGUAUCACCUGUUUGAAAUGACAAAGUGUAAUAUUAAAAACUAGUAAAAUACAA